GACGAACGCUGGCGGCGUGCUUAACACAUGCAAGUCGAACGGAAAGGCCCUGCUUGCAGGGUACUCGAGUGGCGAACGGGUGAGUAACACGUGGGUGAUCUGCCCUGCACUUCGGGAUAAGCCUGGGAAACUGGGUCUAAUACCGGAUAGGAGCCAUUUUUAGUGUGAUGGUUGGAAAGUUUUUUCGGUGUAGGAUGAGCUCGCGGCCUAUCAGCUUGCUGGUGGGGUAAUGGCCUACCAAGGCGGCGACGGGUAGCCGGCCUGAGAGGGUGGACGGCCACAUUGGGACUGAGAUACGGCCCAGACUCCUACGGGAGGCAGCAGUGGGGAAUAUUGCACAAUGGGCGCAAGCCUGAUGCAGCGACGCCGCGUGGGGGAUGACGGCCUUCGGGUUGUAAACUCCUUUCGCUAGGGACGAAGCUUUUUGUGACGGUACCUAGAUAAGAAGCACCGGCUAACUACGUG
rnacentral:rRNA from 1 species